AACGCGAAGAACCUUACCUGGGCUCGAAAUGUACCGGAAUCCGGCAGAAACGUCGGCGUCUAGCAAUAGACCGGUAUAUAGGUGCUGCAUGGCUGUCGUCAGCUCGUGUCGUGAGAUGUUGGGUUAAGUCCCGCAACGAGCGCAACCCUUACCCUUAGUUGCUCAUCCGCAAGGAUAGCACCCUAAGGGAACUGCCUGGGAUAACCAGGAGGAAGGUGGGGAUGACGUCAAGUCCUCAUGGCCUUUAUGCCCAGGGCUACACACGUGCUACAAUGGCCGGUACAAACCGUCGCAAACCCGCGAGGGGGAGCCAAUCGGAAAAAACCGGUCUCAGUUCGGAUUGCAGGCUGCAACUCGCCUGCAUGAAGCUGGAAUCGCUAGUAAUCGCGGAUCAGAACGCCGCGGUGAAUACGUUCCCGGGCCUUGUACACACCGACUGUAC
rnacentral:rRNA from 1 species